AUUUUGUCUAAAACAUCUCUCACUGACAUCGUCCAUGAAAUAUCCGUUUCAAGAGUGCAAAAUCCAAUGCAAAAAGUAAAAUCUUCAAACUGCACAAGCUUUAACAGUACAGUUUUGUCAUCGUCGACUCCUAUUAUUGAGCAAAAGUCUAUCACAGUUGAUAAAGAGCAUAUAAGCAAGUCCAAGGUAUCACUUAGACAAAAAACUCAAAUUACACAGCAAUCGAACAAGCAUAUCAUUUGAUAACAUAUUAAUUUUUGGAAGUUCAAUAACUAAAGGCAUUAAAACAACAAAUUUGAAAGAAAAUGUACGUGUCAACACAAAUCGGGGUGCUACCGUUUAUGAUUUCGAGAAAAAGAUUGCGGAGAUUGAUUUGUCACCUUUUUCAACAAUUGUACUACAGUUUGGUAGAAAUGAUGCAAUAUUGAGAGAAGAAGUAUUCAAAAGCAAAUACAACAAGAAUGUGUCCAAAGUACACGGAUGCCCC
rnacentral:lncRNA from 1 species